rnacentral:misc_RNA from 1 species
GGAAGUAAAAGCCGUAACAAGGUUUCCGUAGGUGAACCUGCGGAAGGAUCAUUGACGCUUUUAAACUCGGAAACCCUCCCUUCCCCCUUCCUUUUUGGGGGGGGGGAAAGGAGGGAGACCACGCCGGGGUGCUGGGAGGGAAACCUUCUUUGCACUCUGCGCGACCCCAAUGCGAAACGUGGGAGCCCCCCUUCCUUCCUUCAACAAAGGAAGGAAGGGGGUUCACCCUUUGCAACUCCUGAUAGUACUUUCCUUCCCUCAAUGGGGGGGGGACUAAAUACUGAGGAAGUUUUCUUAUGGAAUUUUUUUUUCCCCCCCCUCCAAAGGGGGGAGAAAAAAAAAAAAACCCAAAAGAGUUCCUUCCACAAUGCGAAAAAUAAAACGAGAUAAACCCCAAAACAACUCCCGUCGACGGAUAUCUCGGCUCUC